rnacentral:rRNA from 1 species
UACGUAGGGUGCGAGCGUUAAUCGGAAUUACUGGGCGUAAAGCGUGCGCAGGCGGUUCGUUAAGACAGGUGUGAAAUCCCCGGGCUCAACCUGGGAAUGGCGCUUGUGACUGGCGGGCUGGAGUACGGCAGAGGGAGGUGGAAUUUCACGUGUAGCAGUGAAAUGCGUAGAGAUGUGGAGGAACACCGAUGACGAAGGCAGCCUCCUGGGCCAGUACUGACGCUCAUGCACGAAAGCGCGGGGAGCAAACAGG